GCGCUCGAUAUGAAGAACAUGUCGUUGAUGGGCCUUUGCCGAAGGAUUGGCAUGGUUUUUCGGUUUAUGUGAGUUCGGAGGUGACUGGGGUAGACCGCAACAGACGGAAAAGACGGAAAGUGUCGAUUAAAUUGCGACGUCCUGGAUGCGAAGAGAUUGUUGUCCAAG